rnacentral:rRNA from 1 species
CGGAGGGUGCAAGCGUUAUCCGGAUUCACUGGGUUUAAAGGGUGUGUAGGCGGGCAGUUAAGUCAGUGGUGAAAUCUCCGGGCUCAACCCGGAAACUGCCAUUGAUACUAUUUGUCUUGAAUACCGAUGAGGUGGGCGGAAUAUGUCAUGUAGCGGUGAAAUGCAUAGAUAUGACAUAGAACACCAAUUGCGAAGGCAGCUCACUAAACGGUCAUUGACGCUGAGGCACGAAAGCGUGGGGAUCAAACAGGAUUAGAUACCCUGGUAGUCCACGCCCUAAACGAUGAUUACUCGACAUACGCGAUACACAGUGUGUGUCUGAGCGAAAGCAUUAAGUAAUCCACCUGGGAAGUACGUCCGCAAGGAUG